GAUGAACGCUGGCGGCGUGCCUAAUACAUGCAAGUCGAGCGAACAGACGAGGAGCUUGCUCCUCUGACGUUAGCGGCGGACGGGUGAGUAACACGUGGAUAACCUACCUAUAAGACUGGGAUAACUUCGGGAAACCGGAGCUAAUACCGGAUAAUAUAUUGAACCGCAUGGUUCAAUAGUGAAAGACGGUUUUGCUGUCACUUAUAGAUGGAUCCGCGCCGCAUUAGCUAGUUGGUAAGGUAACGGCUUACCAAGGCAACGAUGCGUAGCCGACCUGAGAGGGUGAUAGGCCGCACUGGAACUGAGACACGGUCCAGACGCCUACGGGAGGCAGCAGUAGGGAAUCUUCCGCAAUGGGCGAAAGCCUGGCGGAGCAACGCCACGUGAGUGAUGAAGGUCUUCGGAUCGUAAAACUCUGUUAUUAGGGAAAAACAAAUGUGUAAGUAGCUAUGCACGUCUUGACGGUACCUAAUCAGAAAGCCACGGCUAACUACGUG
rnacentral:rRNA from 1 species